rnacentral:ncRNA from 1 species
UGCGAUGAGUCGAGAUAUGUCAGGCGGUAUUUAUACCGUCCCUCUGCGGAGGCUAGUGACAAUUCGAAGUCAGAGGCACGCAUUUCCGACGCAUUCGGAGUGCUUGAUCGUUUAUGUUGUGGAACAU